rnacentral:rRNA from 1 species
UGCCUGGCUUGAGUACGUGAGAGGAGAUUGGAAUUCCAGGUGUAGCGGUGAAAUGCGUAGAUAUCUGGAGGAACACCGGUGGCGAAAGCGGAUCUCUGGCACGUUACUGACGCUGAGGCUCGAAAGCAUGGGGAGCAAACGGGAUUAGAUACCCCGGUAGUNCAUGCCGUAAACGUUGUGCGCUAGGUGUAGGAGGUAUCGACCCCCUUCUGUGCCGCAGCUAACGCAUUAAGCGCACCGCCUGGGGAGUACGGUCGCAAGACUGAAACUCAAAGGAAUUGACGGGGGCCCGCACAAGCGGUGGAGCAUGUGGUUUAAUUCGAGGCAACGCGAAGAGCCUUACCCAGACUUGACAUCCCAGGACCGCCUAUGAAAGUAGGUUUUCCCUUCGGGGACCUGGAGACAGGUGUUGCAUGGCUGUCGUCAGCUCGUGUCGUGAGAUGUUGGGUUAAGUCCCGCAACGAGCGCAACCCUUGUCCUCAGUUACCAGCGGGUUAUGCCGGGCACUCUGAGGAGACUGCCGAUGAUAAGUCGGAGGAAGGUGGGGACGACGUCAAGUCAUCACGGCCCUUACGUCUGGGGCUACACACGUGCUACAAUGGUCGGUACAGAGGGACGCAAGAUCGCGAGAUGGAGCCAAUCCCAAAAAGCCGGCCUCAGUUCGGAUUGCAGUCUGCAACUCGACUGCAUGAAGUCGGAAUCGCUAGUAAUCGUGGGUCAGCUACACCACGGUGAAUACGUUCCCGGGCCUUGUACACAUCGCCCGUCACAUGACCCGAGUUGGGUGCACCCAAAGCCACUGGCUCAACCAGCAAUGGGGAGAGGUGUCUAAGGUGUGUCUGGUGAGGGGGAUGAAGUCGUAACAAGGUAGCC